GACAGAGGGUGCAAACGUUGUUCGGAAUUACUGGGCGUAAAGCGCGUGUAGGCUGCUUGGAAAGUCGGAUGUGAAAGCCCUGGGCUCAACCUAGGAAGUGCAUUCGAAACUUCUGAGCUGGAGUUCUGGAGAGGAAGGCGGAAUUCUCGGUGUAGAGGUGAAAUUCGUAGAUAUCGAGAAGGAACACCGGUGGCGAAGGCGGCCUUCUGGACAGUGACGUGACGCUGA
rnacentral:rRNA from 1 species